rnacentral:rRNA from 1 species
CCUACGGGUGGCAGCAGUGGGGAAUAUUGGGCAAUGGGCGCAAGCCUGACCCAGCAACGCCGCGUGAAGGAAGAAGGCUUUCGGGUUGUAAACUUCUUUUAAGAGGGAAGAGCAGAAGACGGUACCUCUUGAAUAAGCCACGGCUAACUACGUGCCAGCAGCCGCGGUAAUACGUAGGUGGCAAGCGUUGUCCGGAUUUACUGGGUGUAAAGGGCGUGCAGCCGGGAAGACAAGUCAGAUGUGAAAUCCCGGGGCUCAACCGCGGAACUGCAUUUGAAACUGUUUUUCUUGAGUACCGGAGAGGUCAUCGGAAUUCCUUGUGUAGCGGGGAAAUGCGUAGAGAUAAGGAAGAACACCAGUGGCGAAGGCGGAUGACUGGACGGCAACUGACGGUGAGGCGCGAAAGCGUGGGGAGCAAACAGGAUUAGAUACCCCAGUAGUC